CGUCCACCUAAGUCCCAAGAACACCCACGCCCAAGCCCUUCUAGAUUUGAGAUCGAGCGAAGCUAAGCUUUUCAUCAAGAUGGCGCUUUUUCGACUUGUGGUGUGGCAUGUCAUGAUGGCCUCAAAUCAUCAGUGUUACAGGUGGCCACCACAAGCGAGGGGUCUGCUUCAACUUCUUGACAGAGACAGAUCGGAGGCUUUCUUGACAAUGGAAAGUUUUGUUGGUAGUAGUAUUAGCUUUAUAGGGGGACAUGUCAUUAGGGUUGAUCUUGUGCUUUUGAGGCCUUGCUUACAGGCACGGUACUACUGAAAUAGUUAGCAAAAGAUGGCAAUACUGAUGUAAUCCAGAAUGUAGCAGUACAUAUCAACUGCCGUCUUAGUUUCAGUUCAUGAAGUGAAUAAUGCAUACCAAACUAUGUCCCAGUUCAAAGCAUCCAGAACA
rnacentral:misc_RNA from 1 species